rnacentral:rRNA from 1 species
UGGGGAAUAUUGGACAAUGGGCGAAAGCCUGAUCCAGCCAUGCCGCGUGUGUGAAGAAGGUCUUCGGAUUGUAAAGCACUUUAAGUUGGGAGGAAGGGCAUUAACCUAAUACGUUAGUGUUUUGACGUUACCGACAGAAUAAGCACCGGCUAACUCUGUGCCAGCAGCCGCGGUAAUACAGAGGGUGCAAGCGUUAAUCGGAAUUACUGGGCGUAAAGCGCGCGUAGGUGGUUUGUUAAGUUGGAUGUGAAAUCCCCGGGCUCAACCUGGGAACUGCAUUCAAAACUGACUGACUAGAGUAUGGUAGAGGGUGGUGGAAUUUCCUGUGUAGCGGUGAAAUGCGUAGAUAUAGGAAGGAACACCAGUGGCGAAGGCGACCACCUGGACUAAUACUGACACUGAGGUGCGAAAGCGUGGGGAGCCAACA